rnacentral:rRNA from 1 species
UACGUAGGGUGCAAGCGUUGUCCGGAAUUAUUGGGCGUAAAGAGCUCGUAGGCGGUCUGUUACGUCGGCUGUGAAAACCUGGGGCUCAACUCCGGGCCUGCAGCCGAUACGGGCGGACUAGAGUUCGGCAGGGGAGACUGGAAUUCCUGGUGUAGCGGUGAAAUGCGCAGAUAUCAGGAGGAACACCGGUGGCGAAGGCGGGUCUCUGGGCCGAAACUGACGCUGAGGAGCGAAAGCGUGGGGAGCAAACAGG